rnacentral:rRNA from 1 species
GUCUAUGGCCAUGUCACCCUGAGCAAGCCCAAUGUCUGAUCUUGGAAACUAAGAGGGGUCGGGCCUAGUUAGUACUUGGAUGAGAGACCACCUAGGAAGACCAGGUGCUGUAAGCA